rnacentral:snRNA from 1 species
ACACUUAAUGGCAGAAGCGAUACCAUGGUCAUGAAGGUGGUUUUUCUAGGGCAAGGCUCAUCGAAGCACACUGGAUGCGCUGACCCCUGCAAUUUCCCCAAAUGUGAGAAACUCAACUGGCAUGGC